CCGCAAUCUAAUUAUGACUGCCCUCCCAGCUUGUCUUGUGACGCCUCAUGCUCAUCAACAUGAAGUCCUCCAUUUUGCAUUCGUUAUGGCCACUUUGACACAGAAGAAUGUGGAAACUGGAUCUUGUCAGAAUGCAGUUCGGAUGGGGCCAUGUUCAUUCGAGGACUGGACUGGUGGCUGGAGUUUCUGUUCCAAAAGGUGUCUCCACCAUCAUGGAAGGAAGAGGGGUGGCAAGUACUGUCACGGAGGCCCAUGGGAAGUGGGAAAGGUGACAACACAGCUGACCACCCUUAGGCUACUGGGGAAUGGUGGUCAAUCCCAGAGAUAAAAUGUCAUGGGGAGACAUGCAGUGGAAAGCUCUGGACAUCACUCAGGGAUCGAGAUGCACCACGGACGGUCCUGGAGGGCAGAGGCU
rnacentral:lncRNA from 1 species